rnacentral:lncRNA from 1 species
UUACUUCUUCCUUCUAAAAUAAUAACAACCUCCAAUGCUUCACAGGAGAGAAUUCGAGAUCUCCAAUUGAAACCCACCCCUAGGAUAGGAAGAACCAAAUCCUUCUAUUCAUCAUGAAAUAUCUUCAUCCACGCUACAAGGUUGUAAUGAAUGGGCUGAUUCACUUGUCAAACGAUAUGCAGCAGAGGGAGCUUAGGAAGAGCGAAUUGAUGAAGCAAUACCGGUUGGCUUUGGUGGUCCUGGUGAUUUGCAAUGUAAUAAUUUGUACUGUAUUUAAUGGAUUUGGCUAUUGAUCAAAGUGAAGACUAAUGUUGCUGUUUGAAAGUAGGGAAUAAUUUGUACUGUAUUUGCUACAUUGUUCUUGGUCUUUCAAAAGUGUAGUUGGUAGGUUGUUUUAUAAAUUUUUUCAAACAAUUGUAGUUGGUAGGUUGUUGGCAGUGUGUAUUGUAUCAGUUAUUCACCUAAUUGGUAUGAAAAAAAUUCUGCUUUAUGGCAGUAGCCGUGCCUACUGAUCA